ensembl:rRNA 5S_rRNA 5S ribosomal RNA
GUCUACGGCCAUACCACCCUGAACACGCCCGAUCUCGUCUGAUCUCAGAAGCUAAGCAGGGUCGGGCUUGGUUAGUACUUGUAUGGGAGAAUAUAGUUCACCUACUAGGGUGUGUGCCUUAUAAU